AUACGGAGGAUCCGGGCGUUAUCCGGAAUUACUGGGUUUAAAGGGUGCGUAGGCGGGGCUUUAAGCCGGCGGUGAAAUGCAGCGGCUCAACCGCUGGAAUGCCGUUGGGACUGGGGCUCUUGGAUACGGUCGGGGCGGGUGGAACUCGUGGUGUAGCGGUGAAAUGCAUAGAUAUCACGAGGAACGCCGGUAGCGAAGGCAGCUCGCCGGGCCGGUAUUGACGCUGAGGCACGAAAGCGUGGGGAUC
rnacentral:rRNA from 1 species